UACGGGGGGAGCAAGCGUUGUUCGGAUUUACUGGGCGUAAAGGGCGCGUAGGCGGCCAACUAAGUCCGACGUGAAAUCCCCAGGCUUAACCUGGGAACUGCGUCGGAUACUGGAUGGCUUGAAUUCGGGAGAGGGAUGCAGAAUUCCAGGUGUAGCGGUGAAAUGCGUAGAUAUCUGGAGGAAUACCGGUGGCGAAGGCGGCAUCCUGGACCGACAUUGACGCUGAACGGCGAAAGCUAGGGGAGCAAACGGG
rnacentral:rRNA from 1 species